rnacentral:rRNA from 1 species
UGGGGAAUCUUGCGCAAUGGGCGAAAGCCUGACGCAGCAACGCCGCGUGAGCGAAGAAGGCCUUCGGGUUGUAAAGCUCUGUCAGGAGGGACGAAGCCACUCGGGUGAAUAGCCCAGAGGGUGACGGUACCUCCAGAGGAAGCCCCGGCUAACUACGUGCCAGCAGCCGCGGUAAUACGUAGGGGGCGAGCGUUGUCCGGAAUCAUUGGGCGUAAAGCGCGUGUAGGCGGCUCGGCAAGUCCGGUGUGAAAGCUCGAGGCUCAACCUCGAGUCUGCAUCGGAAACUGCCCUGCUAGAGUCCGGAAGAGGAGACUGGAAUUCCUGGUGUAGCGGUGAAAUGCGCAGAUAUCAGGAAGAACACCGGUGGCGAAGGCGGGUCUCUGGGACGGUACUGACGCUGAGACGCGAAAGCGUGGGGAGCAAACAGGAUUAGAUACCCUGGUAGUCCACGCCGUAAACGAUGGGCACUAGGUGUGGGAGGUGUCGACUCCUUCCGUC